GGGGGUAUAGCUCAGGGGUAGAGCAUUUGACUGCAGAUCAAGAGGUCCCUGGUUCAAAUCCAGAGUCUCUUUUCCA